rnacentral:hammerhead_ribozyme from 1 species
AUCCAGCUGGUGAGUCGCAGAUGGGACGAAACGCACGUCCUGGAU